rnacentral:rRNA from 1 species
GACGAACGCUGGCGGCGUGCCUAAUACAUGCAAGUUGAGCGAUGAAGAUUGGUGCUUGCACCAAUUUGAAGAGCAGCGAACGGGUGAGUAACGCGUGGGGAAUCUGCCUUUGAGCGGGGGACAACAUUUGGAAACGAAUGCUAAUACCGCAUAACAACUUUAAACAUAAGUUUUGAGUUUGAAAGAUGCAAUUGCAUCACUCAAAGAUGAUCCCGCGUUGUAUUAGCUAGUUGGUGAGGUAAAGGCUCACCAAGGCGAUGAUACAUAGCCGACCUGAGAGGGUGGUCGGCCACAUUGGGAAUGAGACACGGCCCAAACUCCUACGGGAGGCAGCAGUAGGGAAUCUUCGGCAAUGGACGAAAGUCUGACCGAGCAACGCCGCGUGAGUGAAGAAGGUUUUCGGAUCGUAAAACUCUGUUGGUAGAGAAGAACGUUGGUGAGAGUGGAAAGCUCAUCAAGUGACGGUAACUACCCAGAAAGGGACGGCUAACUACGUG